ensembl:snRNA U6 U6 spliceosomal RNA
GUGCUUGCUUUGGCAGCACAUAUACUAAAAUAGGAACAAUGCAGAGAAGAUUAGCAUGGCCCUGUGUAAAGAUGAUACGUAAAAAUAUAACAUGCAAGGUUGACAAAUAUAU